CCCUAGGUUUCCAGCCUCGGGUGGGGUGAUGGUGAAUCCUCCCACGAGAGACCCGGGGAGCCUUGAAGGCUGGAGAAGCCGGAGACCCAUUGGGACACAAGCCAGGAGGAGACAGGCUGCUGCCACAUGAAAGCCGCCAGCUUAGAAGGAGCCUCGGAGUUGGGGCCCUUCCACCUGGAAGGCAAUCAGGGUGGUGUGGGUGUGGAUGGAGCCCCCAGGCACAGAGGGACCCGGCUUCCAGGGCACAGGAGAAGGGGCCCCUACCGUGCAUACACGAGCCACGCAGGUAUGGGGAUCCAGGGACCCAGGAGAGUGUGAGUGUGAGGAGCAGCCCCGGGGGUCCGAUCCUCAGGCCCAGGCCAGCCAGCUGUGCCCGUGUCUCCCCCAGAGGUCACCCGGAGGGGCUGGGGUGGCCCGCGGCGUGCUUCCCAGCAAGAGACCCCUGGGAGGCUCGAUGCUCAGGAACCUGGGACACCCUCAGGCAGCAGCUGCAGGCAGGCUCGGCACCAUUACAGGCUGUCAUCCCACAAAGUGUUUGGGGGGGAUCUUUUAUUCCAGAGGCUGUGGGGUGAUGGCAGCUCUCCCGCACCUCCGACGUCCGCAGGGCCUCAGCUGGCUGCCCGGGUCAGGGGCGCCCACGACGCAGGUGCUAGAGUGUGGGGUGGCGGCGCCCCCAGGCUCCAGGGUCAUGGCCCACACACUCUGCCCACUUGCAAGCCUGCACCUGCGCACACGGCUGUGCGUGUCCCUUUCAGCUGGAGCUGGAGGAGCCGGGACCGUGUGGCCAGGUGGGCCUGAGUCCACGACUGUGUUGUCUUUCUGUGAGAGACAACUGGCGCCUGGAGGUGGGGAGAAGGCAGGGACUUCCUUCCGCAGCCAGCGCACAUGGGCUGUCAGCAGAUGAGAGCCACUGCUCAGAAUCCUUGCUGGGCUUUGACCCCAACGACUCACUGUCAAGGGCUGCUUUGCCAGGACACGGCCUGGUGGCUGCAGGAAUAGCCCCUCAAGGACACACGUGGAGCCUUGAUACCUGGGAAGCCCGGACCCACCAGGCAGCCAGUCCAGACGGGGGCUGAGCUUGGCCACUUGAAAAGUACAUCUAAGGUUGGGGGGGGGGCUCCCCACGGCCUGGAGGCUGUGUGUGUGGUUCCACCCCCACCCCAGCUCCCCAGGGCGGGCUGACGGGGCGCCUACUGAACAUGCUCCAGCCACACACGCGGGUGCCUGGAGGGGCCUGUUCGCGAGUAGCCACUGGGGAGAUGGCAUCUGCCUAUUUCCAAGGGCCAAUCCACACAAAUUCAUCUCUGCCCCACGAAGGCAGAGUGGAGGGAUCUCGAAGCCUUGCAAGGACUGGCUCCAGAGUGCUGACCAUGGUAUCCUCGAGGAGAGGCACCUGGGUCUCGUGUGCUGCAGAAACAGCAGAGGCCACAGCAGUGAUACAGGUGCAUCCAGGAGAAAGCACAGAGAAGACAGCAAUUCCCCAAAUGAGCAACGACUUUCCCACCAAGAGGCCCAUGAUCCCAACCACUGAUUUAUGGAAUCACUCAGGGCGCUCCCUGCUCCUCAUGAGGUCCGAGAAACAUGAUACAGUAGCAGGCUCUGUCAGGCGCCAACCUGCAAGAUUCUGCUUGGAUAAUGACACCGGUGCCUCCUUGCGAGGCAGCGGUGAUGUCCAAGGCCAUUCGAUUUGGGAGGAUAGCUGUUCUCAUUAGAGAUGCUUGGGUGUUCAGUAAAGACAGACUUUCUGGCCACCCCUCAAGGCUCACUGAAUAAAUUCAGUCAGGGCCGUCUGUGCUGCAAAGUCUGCAGACCGAUGGAGUAAACAACGACAGCAUCCAGGGGAUCCUGCCGUCAAAGACAGAGUGUGUUCAUCCGGCCUUCAGGAGAGGGGGCUUGUCAACUGUUGUGCCCAUGGGGCAGAUUCUCCCCUGUGCCUAGGGGAACCCCAGGGUGCAGCGGCCCAACCACCCAGGUGGGAGCCAUGACCAAAGAUUUGUGCACAAAACCGUGGAGGCCCAUUAGGGGCCGCCCUCUAAAUACCCGGGUGAUGGGACCAGUCAGUGCCAAGCAGUCACUCUCCCUUCAUCUGACAGGGUCACUACAGUCCCAGGGGUGCCCAUCCCACAUGUCUGGUACAAUUGGGUGGCUUCUGUUUAGAGUGACUUUUCUGUUCCCAACAUAGGGGUGACUGGGUGUGCUGAUGUCUCUAACCCAGAGGAAGCUACAUAAAUCCAUUCCAAUUCUGAGCAUAGCCAAUCAUGACUCUGAUGGAAGACUUUCUGGAACCUUCCAGCGAGCAAUCUGUUGGGCGGCCUUCAUAGUGUGUUUGACAGGAAAACAAUACCCAUACCAGUGUUAUGGACACGCUAUUGGUCAUAUUAGAUGACCAGGGUGCUAGUCCUCCCUGUUCUUGCUUAAUGCCCUCCAGCCUCUCCCCGGAGGGGUAAUACCCACCAGGACUCCCACCCUCUCCCCUCUUCUGACGGUGUGCGUUCCAUGGCAGCUCUAGUGUGUUUUAGUAGGUCUGGCUGCAGCAAGACAGUGGGAUUCCAGCAGAGACUGGGUAGUUUCCCUUCAACCAGGGGUGGGAAAUGCCUGGUCUAUCCCAGUGGGACUUCCCAGUACAAAUUCCAGAGCCUCGCUCCUUUCCAGGUGUGAUGGGGCUUCCUGUCCUCAGCAGCAGAGCGUGUGGAUCCUCCGGGGAGUCAGGGCAUUGAUUGUGUCCUGCAGCUUCCAUAGGUUUAUGGAACUGGGUGCCUCAGUGGGAAUUCCCAUCUGGCACACGGGGCAACGGGCCCUACUGGUUGACCCUUCUGACGUAGUAAAGCCUGGACAGUAUUGUGGUCCACCUGGCCAAGAUGGUUUACCUGUCAGUGAUUUACUCUGCUGUUCUCAUAUUCCACUGUUCCUUCCUACCAGCCCUGAUGCUGUGGUUAUAGGACAGAUGGAUGCUCCGUGCACUGUCACGUUCCUUCCCCCACUCUUACACAUUAUGAUCCUUGCAGGGUCAACCGUCCAUCACCCAUACAUGGCACCCAGCUUCCCUAGUGGGGCAGCCUGGUUUGCACAGUGAUGGGGAAAGCUUGGGUGAGGCCAGAUGCAGUAUCCACACAAACCAAGGCACAUUUAGCACCCUCACUCAGAGGGAGGGGUCACGAGAAUCCAUUUGCCAAGCCCACCCCAGGUGGGGACUUCAUGGAUGAUCCUGGAAUCCCUUCGCAGCUGCCCUGGGCAUUGUUGAGAACACACGGGACGUGGUGAUACUGCGGUAACCCGGUCACUGUACUUCCAGGGCAGUCUGCAUCGGUAGCUCUGGGCCACCCCGUCAGGCACUGAGGUGGCCACUCUGCCUAUGUCCCCAGUCUGCUGUCUCUGCUGAAGAGUCUGUUAGCCGGCGCUGAGCCUCAGCGGGGGCGUCUGCUGCCUGAUGGCCGGGAGCUGUCAGAGCCUUAUGAGCUGGGAUACGAAAACAGUGAGGAUCACCUCAGGCUCCUGCAGAUGGACCUGCAUGUCCCUCCACGUAUCCUGGCCCCAGAGCGGCUUAUCAGUGAUUAUUCACCCCCUUGGCUCCCACUGUCCAAGCUGCGGGGUUCAUCCCUCUAGCACAGUGGGGGACCGGCCAGGCUCACGUUUUACCAGCAGGCCAGCGAUCCCGAGUCUAGCCGGGGCUGAGCAGCCUGCUGUGGCCUGUUCCUGUUUCCAUCCAUAGGGUCCCAUUGUUUGCUGAGUGGUGACUGCUGUCCGGGUGGUAGACUGCAUGGAUUAGACCCAUUUUACAGGCAUCAGCCAGGAUUUCCAUGCUUCCUCUCCUAGGCUACAGGGAUGCCCCAGGAGGAGGGCCCAGGAUAUCCGGAGGAUCUACGCACUCUGUGGAGCUCAGCGGCUCCCACAUUUCUAGGACGGUAGGCUGGCAGACAGGUGCGCCUCCGCUGCAAAUGGGUCUGACCCUUCGUCACAGUGGAAGUUUCAGCCAUGGUGGAGGUUUGUCAAUGGGACAUGCCCUCAGCCCACUCGUUGACAGGCAGGGAAGCUCCUACAAAAUGAGCCGUUCCCUAGUGAGAGGCUCUACGUGGAGGAGUGCUGUCUACACUGCUCGGAGGUAGUGAUCUGCGGAAGUAUGUUGGCUUUCUGCCCCCUCCAGAUCUGAGACCAAAGUCCAAGAGGCUCUUAGUUUCUCUUGUUUCUGCUGCGGCGCCAGCCCAUGGCACCCGGAGUCACGGGCACAUCUAACUCAAGUGGCAACCCUGUUUGGGAGAUACGUGUACGCACAGAUCAGUGUCACCCUACUUUUAUUUAUUUAUUUUUAUUUUUUAUUUAUUUAUUUUUUUAAGUUUUUUAUUUAUUUAUGAUAGUCACAGAGAGAGAAAGAGAGGCAGAGACA